CCGCCGUCCCCUCCUCACGCGGAGGCAUUGGCCAGGAUGCAGCUGCUACCCCACUUCGCCCACCCCUGCAACCUUUGUCUCCUGAAGCUGGAGCAAGGAAUGCUUAUGCUGAAUAGGAGCUAACAAUUCUUCGUCUAAAAGGAAAGCGAACCAAUUUACUGCAGAUUGGUCACUAGGAUUAUGUUCAUAAUCAGGGGUAUGUGUCUAUGCUCUCUUAGGAAUGGAUUUCUUUGCUUUAAUGAGCGGGUCAGAUACAUGGAGAGCCCUCGAGUUAGUCUCUUCUAGCUAUUGUCCAUUUGUCUUUGGUAAAUGAGAGCCAAUGGGUUUCUGGAACACCAAUGCCGGUAAGCCUACAUAAUGGUUAGAAGGAGUUAUGCAACUGAUAAAACAAAAAUCACAAGCAUUACUAUAUUUUCAUGUAGAACAAUAUUUUUGUAUAUAAGUGCAGAAAGGGAGAUCUAUGGUUUCACCUGACAGAGAAUAUUAGUUUGAUGUUGAUCAGAGUUGUAGAUAAGUAAGUAACAGUCUGUUUAAUUCUCUUGUAGCAUGAAUUGAAAUAGAUACUGUGAUUUAUAAUUUAUGGCCUUUUUUCUGCUAAUAUUUGUUACUGCAUUUUGACCUGCACAACUAUGUAUUUAUCCGCAUAUCGUAAUUGCAAUUUUUAAGUUGGCUUAACUACUUUGUCCAGUGUUGCAGCUUCUACUCUUCCAAGCAGAAACAAUGACAGAAAAGGCGUAAUUAAUUUAAAUCUAGGGAGGUUUGAAAUAUAUAUUUUCUCAUCUCUCCAACCACGAAAUGUCAGACCUCAUCUUUAGAUACUGAUUCUAAGUAGAUUGGAUGCAAGAAUAUACAUCUGGACUUUUUUACAACAUGAUUGUAUUUUAGGGUUUGAGGCACUAAUUUAGAUGUUUAUACAGUGAUAAUUGAUGGAGAAUAAUUUUUUUCGGAGUGGUGGUAAAUAAACGGAGCCCUUUGGUUUUACUUGCAACUGUCGGUUCAUCUGCGCUCUGCAAAGCAUGAGAAGGUGGUGAGUGUUUUAAUUUUCUGAGUUCCAAAUGCGGACAUAAUUUCAGUUGAGGCAAGAGGAGUUUGGCAGGUUAAUCAUGUCACCCCAGGAGCAAGCGAUUUUUCACUAUCACCUCGAAUGUUAAACAAUGCACAUUUUCUCACUUUGUUAUAUCAAUCAGUACUUUUGUUGUGGUGGUUCUUGGGAGUUCUUGGCAAUAGACGAUGGGCAAUACCAGUAUACACGUGUUGCCAAACAUAUGAUGCUCUUUCCUUGUCAUGUGGGAUGUAUGGAGAUGA